rnacentral:hammerhead_ribozyme from 1 species
GCACAGCUGACGAGUCCAAAACAGGACGAAACAACUGUCUAGCGC